rnacentral:lncRNA from 1 species
GCAGCAUCAUGCAUAGUGUGUUUUAAAAUGACAGAUGCCAUUGACCAAGUACAUUUCUGAGAACAGAACCUGGAAAUGUGUGUUUUAAAAUUCCACGGGUGAUUUUGAGGUGUGCUACGGAUAACAACCACUGGAUUAAAAUAUAUGUGUAAUAUACUAAUAUGUUAAAUAUGCAGAUUUUAAAAGUCGAUUUUGGCUGGGAUGUAAAAAGAUGGCUUUGUAGAAGAGAAAUGAUUUGAAUGGAAGAUCAGAUGUGGACAGAAGAGUUUCUUCAUCUCAGCUCGCCUCACCACUACAGAUCCAAGCCUCAUACAGAGCCUAACCGAAAUACUUUCCUCCAAAUACAAUGCUUUUCACAAUGGAAGACAUUAAAAGCUUCAGUGGUUGCUGCUGGGGGCCUUCACCACAAAACAGCCAUCCACCUUUGCUUUUGCUCUAUCUACAAAAAAUAUGCACGGGCACACACCAGAAGUCAACUUUGAUUCAACUCUAGUCUUCAGUUACCAGACCCUAUCACACAUCUGUAAAACUAAGAAAUAAACAAGUGUUUAAAAUAUGUCCUUUUCUUGUAUUUCUUUCUACUAGUGUCAUUUCUUAU